CCCCAGUUGGCAACGAACGGUAGAGCAUGAGACUCUUAAUCUCAGGGUUGUGGGUUCGAGCCCCACGUUGGGUG
rnacentral:tRNA from 1 species